rnacentral:ncRNA from 2 species
UUCUGAUGCAGUGGUGAUUUGCGACAUAUUGCGGCCACUCUAAAUAAGUCGCUAAAAAGUCAAUCUGGUUGCUCC